rnacentral:rRNA from 1 species
UUAUUUGAGAGUUUGAUCCUGGCUCAGGAUGAACGCUGGCGGCGUGCCUAACACAUGCAAGUUGAGCGAUUUACUUCGGUAAAGAGCGGCGGACGGGUGAGUAACGCGUGGGUAACCUACCCUGUACACACGGAUAACAUAUCGAAAGGUAUGCUAAUACGGGAUAAUAUAUUUGAGAGGCAUCUCUUGAGUAUCAAAGGUGAGCCAGUACAGGAUGGACCCGCGUCUGAUUAGCUAGUUGGUAAGGUAACGGCUUACCAAGGCGACGAUCAGUAGCCGACCUGAGAGGGUGAUCGGCCACAUUGGAACUGAGACACGGUCCAAACUCCUACGGGAGGCAGCAGUGGGGAAUAUUGCACAAUGGGCGAAAGCCUGAUGCAGCAACGCCGCGUGAGUGAUGAAGGCCUUCGGGUCGUAAAACUCUGUCCUCAAGGAAGAUAAUGACGGUACUUGAGGAGGAAGCCCCGGCUAACUACGUGCCAGCAGCCGCGGUAAUACGUAGGGGGCUAGCGUUAUCCGGAUUUACUGGGCGUAAAGGGUGCGUAGG